ACAGUGGGGGGGAGCAUGGUGGUUUAAUUCGAAGCAACGCGAAGAACCUUACCAAAUCUUGACAUCCUUUGACCACUCUAGAGAUAGAGCUUUCCCCUUCGGGGGACAAAGUGACAGGUGGUGCAUGGUUGUCGUCAGCUCGUGUCGUGAGAUGUUGGGUUAAGUCCCGCAACGAGCGCAACCCUUAAGCUUAGUUGCCAUCAUUAAGUUGGGCACUCUAGGUUGACUGCCGGUGACAAACCGGAGGAAGGUGGGGAUGACGUCAAAUCAUCAUGCCCCUUAUGAUUUGGGCUACACACGUGCUACAAUGGACAAUACAAAGGGCAGCUAAACCGCGAGGUCAUGCAAAUCCCAUAAAGUUGUUCUCAGUUCGGAUUGUAGUCUGCAACUCGACUACAUGAAGCUGGAAUCGCUAGUAAUCGUAGAUCAGCAUGCUACGGUGAAUACGUUCCCGGGUCUUGUACACACCGCCCGUCACACCACGAGAGUUUGUAACACCCGAAGCCGGUGGAGUAACCAUUUAUGGAGCUAGCCGUCGAAGGUGGGACAAAUGAUUGGGGUGAAGUCGUAACAAGGUAGCCGUAUCGGAAGGUGCGGCUGACACACCUCCAUAAAA
rnacentral:rRNA from 1 species